UGUUGAUUUUUAUUUUGGAAGGUAAGAAUCACCAGAAUUCAGUUUAUGUUGAAUUGAAUAGAGUGUUGACCGAGGAUGAAAAUCAUA